rnacentral:rRNA from 1 species
CCUAUGGGUGGCAGCAGUGAGGAAUAUUGGUCAAUGGGCGCGAGCCUGAACCAGCCAAGUAGCGUGAAGGAUGACUGCCCUACGGGUUGUAAACUUCUUUUAUAAAGGAAUAAAGUGAGGCACGUGUGCCUUUCUGUAUGUACUUUAUGAAUAAGGAUCGGCUAACUCCGUGCCAGCAGCCGCGGUAAUACGGAGGAUCCGAGCGUUAUCCGGAUUUAUUGGGUUUAAAGGGAGCGUAGAUGGGUUGUUAAGUCAGUUGUGAAAGUUUGCGGCGCAACCGUAAAAUUGCAAUUGAUACUGGCAGCCUUGAGUACAGUUGAGGUAGGCGGAAUUCGUGGUGUAGCGGUGAAAUGCUUAGAUAUCACGAAGAACUCCGAUUGCGAAGGCAGCCUACUAAACUGCCACUGACAUUGAUGCUCGAAAGUGUGGGUAUCAAACAGGAUUAGAUACCCCAGUAGUC